AAGAGCUCUCGUUGCUGAGUGGGAAGGCAGCUGGCGCUAGCCAUCAGAAAUGGCUGAAACGUCGCACUCCUGAGGGGCCUACGCAUUUGAGUUUUGUUUUGAUAGGAUGAGACUGUGGUCUUAGAGCUUGCUUGCAAACUUCAGGAAGUGUGGGGGAGCUGCUUGGACUCUGCUAGACUUGAUGGAUCUAAGACAGUAUGGAGAGAAGAGAAAUCCAAUAGAUAACUGAUAUACUUUAAAGACUGCAACGAAUUCGAUUAACAAUGGACACGACGUGAAGAGUUAAUAAUAUGAUAACCUAUUUGCAUGUGUGGGAACAGAGUAAAUGAACCUUAAGCAUUUAAAAGCAGAGAGCAAGAAGGAGGGGGGGAAGUGAAUGGAGGGUAACUUUUCUCUGCAAGUUUGUUAUACUAAACCUUCAUCAGCAGUGCAAGAUG
rnacentral:lncRNA from 1 species